AUGAACGCUGGCGGCGUGCCUAAUACAUGCAAGUCGAGCGAACAGACGAGGAGCUUGCUCCUCUGACGUUAGCGGCGGACGGGUGAGUAACACGUGGAUAACCUACCUAUAAGACUGGGAUAACUUCGGGAAACCGGAGCUAAUACCGGAUAAUAUAUUGAACCGCAUGGUUCAAUAGUGAAAGACGGUUUUGCUGUCACUUAUAGAUGGAUCCGCGCCGCAUUAGCUAGUUGGUAAGGUAACGGCUUACCAAGGCAACGAUGCGUAGCCGACCUGAGAGGGUGAUCGGCCACACUGGAACUGAGACACGGUCCAGACUCCUACGGGAGGCAGCAGUAGGGAAUCUUCCGCAAUGGGCGAAAGCCUGACGGAGCAACGCCGCGUGAGUGAUGAAGGUCUUCGGACCGUAAAACUCUGUUAUUAGGGAAGAACAAAUGUGUAAGUAACUAUGCACGUCUUGACGGUACCUAAUCAGAAAGCCACGGCUAACUACGU
rnacentral:rRNA from 1 species